rnacentral:rRNA from 1 species
UCCCAGCGGUCCGAGUCGCAGCCACAAUUAUUGGGUCUAAAACAUCCGUAGCUUGCUUUGCAAGUUUCUUGUGAAAUCUGGCAUCUUAAGUGUCAGACGUGCAAGAAAUACUGCUUAGCUAGAGACCGGAGGAUGCAAGGAGUACAUUCAAGGUAGUGGUAAAAUACGUUAAUCUUGAAUGGACUACCAACAGCGAAGGCACCUUGCAACGACGGAUCUGACUGUGAGGGAUGAAGGCUAGGGGCGCAAAAUG